rnacentral:rRNA from 1 species
AACGAACGCUGGCGGCGCGCCUAAUACAUGCAAGUCGAGCGAGAAGACGUAGCAAUACGUUUGUAAAGCGGCGAACGGGUGAGGAAUACAUGGGUAACCUACCCUCGAGUGGGGAAGUAACUAGCCGAAAGGUUAGCUAAUACCGCGUACGCUCCUUGGUACUUCGGUUCAGGGAGGAAAGCGAUACCGUGGGUAUCGCGCUCUUGGAUGGGCUCAUGUCCUAUCAGCUUGUUGGUGAGGAACGGCCCACCAAGGCUUCGACGGGUAGCUGGUCUGAGAGGACGAUCAGCCACACUGGCACUGCGACACGGGCCAGACUCCUAC